AAAACUUCAACAACGGAUCUCUUGGCUCUGGCAUCGAUGAAGAACGCAGCGAAAUGCGAUAAGUAAUGUGAAUUGCAGAAUUCAGUGAAUCAUCGAAUCUUUGAACGCACAUUGCGCCCGCCAGUAUUCUGGCGGGCAUGCCUGUUCGAGCGUCAUUU
rnacentral:rRNA from 2 species